GCCGGCGUGGCGGAACUGGCAGACGCGCACGACUCAAAAUCGUGUGGUGCUUGGCACCGUGUGGGUUCAAUUCCCUCCGCCGGCA
rnacentral:tRNA from 1 species